rnacentral:rRNA from 1 species
UACGUAGGGGGGCGAGCGUUUGUCCGGAAUUAUUGGGCGUAAAGAGCGUGUAGGCGGCCAGAUAAGUCCGCUGUGAAAACUCGAGGCUCAACUUCGAGCUGUCGGUGGAAACUAUUUGGCUAGAGUCCGGAAGAGGAGAGUGGAAUUCCUGGUGUAGCGGUGAAAUGCGCAGAUAUCAGGAAGAACACCCGUGGCGAAGGCGGCUCUCUGGUACGGAACUGACGCUGAGACGCGAAAGCGUGGGGAGCGAACAGG